GAUGAACGCUGGCGGCGUGCCUAAUACAUGCAAGUCGAGCGAACGGACGAGAAGCUUGCUUCUCUGAUGUUAGCGGCGGACGGGUGAGUAACACGUGGAUAACCUACCUAUAAGACUGGGAUAACUUCGGGAAACCGGAGCUAAUACCGGAUGAUAUUUUGAACCGCAUGGUUCAAAAGUGAAAGACGGUCUUGCUGUCACUUAUAGAUGGAUCCGCGCUGCAUUAGCUAGUUGGUAAGGUAACGGCUUACCAAGGCAACGAUGCAUAGCCGACCUGAGAGGGUGAUCGGCCACACUGGAACUGAGACACGGUCCAGACUCCUACGGGAGGCAGCAGUAGGGAAUCUGCCGCAAUGGGCGAAAGCCUGACGGAGCAACGCCGCGUGAGUGAUGAAGGUCUUCGGAUCGUAAAACUCUGUUAUUAGGGAAGAACAUAUGUGUAAGUAACUGUGCACAGCUUGACGGUACCUAAUCAGAAAGCCACGGCUAACUACGUG
rnacentral:rRNA from 1 species